rnacentral:lncRNA from 1 species
ACGUCAUCGCCCCUCGCCCCGCCCGGGGCUGGGGAAACUGAGGCUGGGUGGCUCCCCGCAAGCGCUCGGCGAGCUGGGGACUGGAGGGGCGAGAAAGUUGUUUGGGUAUCAGGUUAGUGAUUUCAGCCAGACUGCAGCUUGGAUGUCACUAAGUUCAGCCACUGGGCUGGGCACCGCCAAGCAUCGACUGCUCAUUCUUUCUGUGCCGCUGCGCCCAGUAACUGUCCCCUCUGCUCACCCACAACCCUAGCCAGAAACCUGGGAUGCCUGCACCGCUCCCUUACGCCCUACUACAACAGAGAGGAGAUCUUGCUAUGUUGCCCAGACUGAUCUCGAAC